CCGUGGCCAUUUUCGUUCAAG
rnacentral:sRNA from 1 species